rnacentral:rRNA from 1 species
UUUGACUCAACGCGGGAAAUCUUACCAGGUCCGGACACACUGAGGAUUGACAGGAAGUAUCGUCUUUUGAAUUCUUUAAGGAUAUGUCGUUUUUAAUGACAUCUUUUAGAUGGAUGAUUCGUGUAAAUAUGCUAGUUCUUUCAUGAUUAUGUGAUAGGUGGUGCAUGGCCGUUCUUAGUUCGUGGAGUGAUCUGUCUGCUUAAUUGCGUUUCACUAAGGCCCCAAAGUUAGCAAAUUAUCAAUCGUUACAGAGUCGACCCCUCACCUUUGAGUGCGCGUCCUAACUUGUAGUACAUGGUGUAAAUGGAUUUGUUUUGGGUACCCAGAAAGCAACGAACGUGACCGCAACGUCUUGUUGUCUCUCUUUGACAGUUAUGGGUUAUCCCAGUCAUGUGUUUAUACUUUUAUGUGUAAAUACGUACGACACAGAGACUAGAUACCAA